AGAGUUUGAUCAUGGCUCAGGAUGAAUGCUGGCGGCGUGCCUUAAGCAUGCAAGUCGAACGGAUCAACUUCGGUUGGUUAGUGGCAGACGGGUGAGUAACGGGUAGGAAUCUACCUCUGGGUGGGGAAUAGCUGGCCGAAAGGCCAAUUAAUACCGCAUAAGAUCGCAAGAUGAAAGGGCGUAACUGCCCGCCGAGAGAGGAGCCUGCUUACUAUCAGCUUGUUGGUAGGGUAAUGGCCUACCAAGGCGAUGACGGUUAGGGGAUGUGAGAGCAUGAUCCCCCACAAGGCCACUGAGAUACGGGGCCUACACCUACGGGUGGCAGCAACUGGGAAUAUUGCACAAUGGGCGAAAGCCUGAUGCAGCGACGCCGCGUGCGGGAUGACGGCCUUCGGGUUGUAAACCGCUGUGGUCGGGGAUGAAUAAAAUGACAGUACCCGACUAGAAAGCAUCUGCUAACUACGUGCCAGAAGCCUCGGUAAUACGUAGGAUGCAAGCAUUAUCCGGAAUCAUUGGGCGUAAAGAGUAUCGUAGGCGGUAAUACAAGUGGUAGGUUAAAUCUCAAGGCUCAACCUUGAAUCUGCUUAUCAAACUGUAUCACUAGAGUUAGUUCGGGGAUAUUGGAAUUCUUGGUGAAGGGGUGAAAUCCGUUGAUAUCAAGAAGAACGCCAAUGGUGAAGACAAAUAUCUAGGACUUAACUGACGCUGAUGAGCGAAAGCUAGGGUAGCAAACCGGAUUAGAGACCCGGGUAGUCCUAGCCGUAAACGCUGAACACUAGCUGGUUGGAUGAAUUUCUGACUGGCGCAAGCUAACGCGUUAAGUGUUCCGCCUGGGGAGUACGACCGCAAGGUUAAAACUCAAAGGAAUUGACGGGGAAACGCACAACCAGCGUCCCAUGUGGUUUAAUUCGAUAUGGAACGAAGCACCUUACCUGGGUUUGACAUGCUAGAGUUCUAUCUCCAAGAAACUGGAGAGAGUCCGCAAGGAGGCUAGCACAGCUGCUGCAUGGUUGUCGUCAGUUCGUGUCGUGAGGCGUCCGCUUAAGUGCGGUAACGAACGCAACCCCUGUUCCGUGUUAAAUGUUCACGGGAGACUGCCCUGGUUUCACCAGGGAGGAAGGAGGGGACGACGUCAAAUCAGCAUGGCGCUUACACCCAGGGCCACACGCAUGGGGUAAUGGCGAGUACAACGGGUUGCGACAGAGUAAUCUUGAGCUAAUCCUUCAAAACUCGCCUCAGUUCGGAUUGUGGGCUGCAACUCGCCCACAUGAAGGGGAGUUGGUAGUGAUCGCGGGUCAGCUAUACCGCGGUGAAUACGUUCUCGUUUCUUGUACACACCGCCCGUCAAGUCAACAAAGUCAGCAGUGCCCGAAACCGGUAUCUUAAACCGCAAGGAUAAGACCGUCUAAGGUAAGGUUGGCGAUGGGGGCUAAGUCGUAACAAGGUA
rnacentral:rRNA from 1 species